AUACGGAGGGGGCUAACGUUGUUCGGAAUUACUGGGCGUAAAGCGCACGUAGGCGGUUAUUCAAGUCAGAGGUGAAAGCCCGGAGCUCAACUCCGGAAUUGCCUUUGAAACUAGAUAACUUGAACACGGGAGAGGUGAGUGGAAUUCCGAGUGUAGAGGUGAAAUUCGUAGAUAUUCGGAAGAACACCAGUGGCGAAGGCGGCUCACUGGACCGUUGUUGACGCUGAGGUGCGAAAGCGUGGGGAGC
rnacentral:rRNA from 1 species